GCAAGAUCCAUUUUCUGCCACCGAAUACAUUAGCAUGGGAUAAUGGAAUAGGACCCUGUCCUCCUAUUUUCAGUUGGUUUUGGCAGCGCGAGGACUAGGGUAAUGAUUAAUAGGGAUAGUUGGGGGCAUUAAUAUUUAAUUGUCAGAGGUGAAAUUCUUGGAUUUAUGAAAGAUUAACUUCUGCGAAAGCAUCUGCCAAGGAUGUUUUCAUUAAUCAAGAACGAAAGUUAGGGGAUCGAAGACGAUAAGAUACCGUCGUAGUCUUAACCAUAAACGAUGCCNACCAGCGAUUAGGAGACGUUGAAUACAAAACACCACCAUCGGCGGGGCCGUCCUUGUUGUCUCCGCCCUUUCCGGGGGCGGGGGGGGAGGGCGUCUUCCCCCGGUGGCGCCGAUUAAUUCCUCCCCCAGCAGCUGUGGAAAAAAAAA
rnacentral:rRNA from 1 species